rnacentral:misc_RNA from 1 species
AGUGUGCUUUCAAGUACUUAAAGGUAUGGAUGUGCAAACAUUGCGAAAUGGAAGGACUGUAUUAUAUAAAAAAGUAUGAAGAUGAUUUAGAAAAAGAUCAGGAAGAAAAUGUUGAAAGUUCAACAAUGGGUGUAGAAUCACGGGAAAUAGAACAAGACCGUUUAGAACACAUAAAAACUUCCACAAAAGAACUGAUAAAUACAAACAACUCUGAAAAGGUUCUUUUUGAACUAGGAAAAGAUAUUAUCAAUGCAGAUAUUAUAAGUGCAAAAGCGAGACUAGAAGCGUUGAAGGACCGGAAGAAGCCCGAUUGGCUGAAGAUGUACCAAAGCCCUGACAAGCAAGGCGAAACCCUUCUUCAUUUGGCAAUUAAAAGCCUGGAUGAUAUAGCUCUAGUUACAAAUCUAUCGGAGAUGUGUCCAGAUUUACUUCUGAUGUCAAGGGAACAAUCACCAAUAUUUCACGGACAGACAGCACUACAUAUGGCAAUUACCAAAAGCAACGAAGAAGCAAUUCAAGAAAUGUUAAGAGUUGGCAUUAGAUAUAAAAAAAAGGAGAUGUCGACUCUGUUGCACAUUUGCGCAACAGGAUCUCGGUUCGUGAACACGGUGAUGAUGGGGCAACUUCCUUUAACUGUCGCCGCACUGACGGGGAAUACCGAUAUAGUUGAUGUUUUGUUGGAGUUUGGAGCUGAUUUAAACAUUCAAAAUGAAGAGGAAGACACUGUGUUGCAUUCAUUAGUUAAAUACGCAGCAACAUACCCAGAGAAAGUAAUAACAAUUAUUCAGAUGAUGCAACAUAUAAAUCAGAAACUGGAAAACAAACAUCGAAUCGACAGUAGCACGUUUGACCAUUUCGGAAAUGAUAUGCACCGAAAGGCUAACUCCUUCCUUUGGCUUGUGAAAAACAAAGAAAGCUUGACGCCUCUCCAACUUUCCGCAAAGCACGGUGUAACGGAACUGUUCGAAGAAAUUCUUAAUCUAAAAAAUGUGUACUGCUAUAUCAGUGCAAAUGAUGGAUUGUUUGAUGUCAAAGAGUAUGACAUCACAGAAAUAGAUACUGUCAGCGUUAUAAACUUGGCGCAAAGUCAUAAACAAUCCAAAUCUAUCCCUGAAAACUUCGACGGAAUAGCAAGAAAUAUCGUACAGUCAAAUCAAACAAACUGUGCCUUUUGUUGGUCUUAUCCUGAAACAGAAUCCAUCUUGGAAAUGCUUUUCAAUAGUGACUAUGACAGCAAAGACGCAUAUCGCAUCAUAGAGUUACCGCCAGUUCAGAAUAUCAUAAAAAUGAAAUGGAACAGAUAUAAUAAGUGUUUUAUAUCGUGGAUGAUACUUCAUUAUGUUUCAAUGAUACUAUUAACAAUGUAUAGCGUAUAUAAUGUUGAACUGAGGAUUCCAAGUGUGCAAGGUAACAAUACCACCACGUCUCAAUCUGUUGUUUGCGUUUUUCAAUGGUAUUCUUUUAGUGUAGGUUCAAUCUAUGGCUUUAUCGUAUGUUGUUUAAUGAUUGCUAAGUUCCGUAAAAAGAAUGUCUUUAAUUACUUUUUUCACAAUAUGGAAUAUAUAUUUCCCAUGCUGAUACUAUCUAUAACGAUGGUUAUUGAUGUUCUAUGGUCCUUAAUAGAAGAACACGACAACAUUCCUUUAAUCAUCGCACUUAUUUGUGGCUGGUGGUUGAACGUAUUUUUCCUUUCACCCUUUCAAAAAUUCAGCUUCUUCACAGAACUUAUCAAACGUGUAAUCACCGGUGAUCUUCUCCGGUUUGGACUGGUGAUUCUUUUUGGGCUUUUUUCAUUUACAGCUGGAAUGUACAUUGUGUUCAGGGGAACAGACGAAGAAGAUUUUUCUUCGUAUGGAAGAACGAUGAUGGCAAUGUUUAAGCUCGGGAUAGGGAUCGACGAUAUAGGGGUGUUGUAUUCUGCAUGAAUUCCAUGGGUAGCAAUAUCUAUCUUUACAGUCUUUACUACCUUUACAUAUAUACUUAUGUUGAAUGCUUUGAUUGCAAUGAUGUCUCAAACAUGUUCUAGAGUGUCAGAAGAACGAUUUCCCCAAUGGCGAAUACAACAGCUCUCUAUCAUUCUUGUUAUUGAAGAUCUUAUCUGUCGCUGCUGUUUUAAGAAUAUACGUAGUGCAGGAACCAAGAGGAAAGUUUGUGGAUUAGAUCCAAAAACAAGACAAUUAAAAUACGAAGAAAGGUACUUUCUAGAAAUCCAUGCCCUACACAAGGAAUUUGCAACAGCAGAGGAUAAAGUACGAGUACAAAAAAAAUCAAAUGACUCGGAAGUACAACGCAAUUUUUCGAACGGCGGUAAUAGGAUAAUAACGAGGAAUAAUGUUUCUUCAUCGGGAAGAUAUACACCUCCAAUGGUCGAUAAAACAUCGCCGCAGAAUGACUUAUUAGCACAUUCUUUUCGUUUGAAAAGGAAUACAAGGCAGAUAGUGCCUAUCUCUACAGAAGAGCCACACAUUCAACGAACACAUAGAAGAGAAUUUUCACAAGAGAAAAAUGUCUUAAACGAAGACGACAAAGUUGCCCAUUAUUUCCAAAAAUUGGACCCAUCCACUAGACGCAUAACUCUUGCCAGAAAACCGCCAAACGGAUUAAAUUCUCAGAAAGAGCGAGAUCAAGUAGAAUGUGAAAUCCGUACUCUUACUGAUUAUUAAUGAUGUCUCUUACUGUAUGUGUUGGAUACAUUAAUAAACAUUUAAACCAUUUCGUAUAAAGCGUUAGAGUAGUAAAGUUUUGAUUAUUGUAUUGGCUUAUGUUUAAUACUUAUAAUUAUGUUUUGGUUUUGAAAAAAAUAAUUUGAUUUCUUUAUAUCUAAGUCAAUGUUAAAUUCAAAGUUAAUCAAUAUAAAUUUUAAUCAAAAAUCCUCUUACUAAUAUUUCAUUCCUACCUGUCUACAUGUUUAUUUUUGCCUCGUGUAACUUUCGCCGUUUUAAACUAGCAAACUGAUCCGCCCGUCUUGAAGUUUUGUGCAAAGAGGGAUAGUUUGAGCCAUUGGAAUCGCCCAAGUUUUAAAUUAGCCUGCUGACAGCGAGGGCGCAAAAUACGAAAUAAAGAUGGGGCCAAUAUUUCCCUGUAUACAGUAUCAACAAAUUACUGUAUGAAAUCAAUCACAAUGAUACUUAUUUGAUAUAUCUAUAUGUUUUGAAUAUUAAGAUGUUAAUCAAUUGUGAUCAGGAACAUGUUUCAAAAGUUUUUUUUUUGUAUCUUAGAUUAAAUAAUAAAUGAUACGAAUUUGU